GCGGGAGUGCUGGAAUUGGCAGACAGGCUAGACUAAGGAUCUAGUGGUUGUAUGAUCGUGUGGGUUCAAGUCCCAUCUCCCGCACUA
rnacentral:tRNA from 2 species